CGAUCUGAGCGGCGGCGGUGGCGGCUCCCAUCCUCUUCCUCCACUCCUCUCCCUCAGAUUGAGCUCCGCCCCGAAGGAAAGGGUACGCGGCCGUCGAUCUGUGUGCGUCUAGCCAUGGAGGGCUCGCCCCUCUCACGCGCCUCGUCCGCACGGAGCGCUAGCAGCCCACACGGCAUAGAUCCACUAUCCCUGCGUCCGCCCCACCGGCCGCCGGUGACUGCCGCACUAUUCCAUUCCUCCCCAAGCGUGCCGCACGCGACGGCCCAUGCUGCCUUGCCGUGUUUCUGCAGCUAGACCGCCACCCCUACCCUCGCGCUCCGGGCAGAGGCUCAUUCUUCUUGGUGGUGACUACGCGUUCCUCCCGGUGGUGGCGCUCUGCCCGCUGUGUUGCCUUUCUCCAAGCAGCUGUGCCCUUCGACCCCUACCUGUAAUCAAUUGAUCCGGCAACAGAGAGUUGAAGCUGCAAAGAAGCGUGAUGAGGAAAAAGCCGAAUUUACGACUGACAGAUUACAUGCUGGUUUCUUACUGCUUAGGUUUCGACAUUCGACAUUUGAACAAAUCAUAUACUGGAGAUUAUUAUAAUAGAAGGAAAGACAUACAAGAUGACCAGGAACCAUGAAGCUCGUAGUUUGCGUUAACUGUGUAAUGGAGAGGACUAUGAAUCGCUGGACAUGUGUCUAUUAGCUAUCAUAUAUGGUGUCUCAGUCAAGUGGAUAUUCUGUGUAAUGUAAGACACAUGAUUUGUAGGACAUAUAUCUAUUGGCUAUCAUUUUGUAAACCUAUCCGGUCUCUCGGUCACUGAACCAUAAAUGUUUCCUCUUAAUUGGCUACCUCCUCCGUUUGUGAGAAGUAAUUAAUGUGCUAUUUUUAUU